ensembl:lncRNA
CAGGUACCCUAGUGGUUAGAGUGUUGAGGAGGCAGGUAGCCUAUGGUUAGAGUGUAGAGGCGGCAGGGUAGCCUAGUGGUUAGAGGGUAGAGGCGGCAGGGUAGUCUAGUGGUUAGAGUGUAGAGCGACAGGGUAGCCUAGUGGUUAGAGUGUAGAGGCGGCGGGGUAGCCUAGUGGUUAGAGUGUAGAGGCGGCGGGGUAGCCUAGUAGUAAGAGUGUAGAGGCGGCAGGGUAGCCUACUGGUUAGAGUGUAGAGGCGGCAGGGUAGCCUAGUGGUUAGAGUGUAGAGGCGGCAGGGUAGCCUAGUGGUUAGAGUGUUGGGGCGGCAGGGUAGCCUAGUGGUUAGAGUGUAG